rnacentral:lncRNA from 1 species
UGAGGUUCUUGCUCGCCAAUGUCAAAGGUGAAAGAAAUGUGUUUGCAUGAAAUCUUGUUAUUUAUUUAAUGACGUGAAUCAAAAGACUCAAUUAUACUUGCAUGUCUUAAUAUUAUCGGGUUUUGUAGAAAGAGGCCAAGAAAGAAGCCAAGCUGGAGUAACCGCCAUGUAGUAUGAAGUAGGUGCCAGGCAGCAUGGAAAAGCCAACCAGAAAAAACCCAGGAAUGUGAGAAGCUGUCUAUAUGACGAAUGAUGUUCGGCAGAAAUUACUUAUAUAAUUGUCAAUUUUGGAUUAUGGGUUGUUGUAAUUUUCAUGGAGUACCGAGAUUAUUGGCUUGGCAUUUGCUACAUAUCUUCCUAACUCAGUGAUUUUUUGUUUUUUGUUUUUGGUUUUUGGGGGCAUAUGUAUAUAUACAGUCCCGAUCUCUUGGACCACAGGAGUCCAAGAGAUUGUGGUCACCCACCGUUGGAUAUUAAUCUAAUGGUAUAAAAAAAGUUUAUUAAAAUGAGUGCAAGAGUGAGUGAACCGUUGAAUUUACAUCCAACGGUGAGUGACCACAAAUUUCUUGAACUCCUGUGGUCCAAGAGAUCAGGACUAUGUAUAUAUAUUUAUUAAAAUGUAGUUAAGUAAUUGUCAGCUAUAUGACGAAUGAUGAGUUGGGAAGAAAUUACUUAUGUAAUAAUUGUCAAUUUUGGAUUACGGGUUAUUGCAAUUUUCAUGUAGUUAA